rnacentral:lncRNA from 1 species
CUUACCGCGAAGAGUCCCGCGAGGGCUUGGCACGGCCUCGCGUGUCGCUUUCCCACACGCGGUUGGCCGUGUCGUUGCCAAUAGCCGUCAGCACCAGGGUCAGCUCCCGUGGCCAGUCGUCCAAGUCCAGCGAGCGAACGCGGGACAGGUGUGUGCCCAGGUUGCGGUGGAUGCCAGAACACUCGAUGCAGAUGAGGGCGCCCAGGUUCAAGCUGUCCACGCAGAUUGAAUUCCCCUUGGCGUUCCGGAUCGCCUGGAUGGCCACGGCCUCGCUUUGGCUGUCUGUGCGCAGCUGCAGAGAGGGUUUGGGUUGGCACUGACUCUGCCUCCAAGCCCCACCUCCUUCUCAGACACCUCUGCUCUCCUCUCACACGACUUCGGCCGUGUCGUUGCCAAUGGCCGUCAGCACCAGGGUCAGUUCCUGCGGCCAGUCCUCCACUCCACCUCAAACUCUUACCUUGACCUUGCUGCUCUCACAGCAUUGCAGACUGGCUAGGAUCUGACUCUCGAUGGCCUGGACCCAGGCAUCCCGCUCCUCAAAACUGGCUGCCUCAAAGUGCCACGUCUGACCCGUGCUGGACACGAUCAGGAACUCAAAGUUUUCCUCUG